rnacentral:rRNA from 1 species
CGAAAGCCUGACGGAGCAAGACCGCGUGAGGGAAGAAGGUCUGUGGAUUGUAAACCUCUUUUGAUAGGGAAGAAGCUCUGACGGUACCUAUCGAAUCAGCCUCGGCUAACUCCGUGCCAGCAGCCGCGGUAAUACGGAGGAGGCAAGCGUUAUCCGGAAUUAUUGGGCGUAAAGCGUCCGCAGGUGGUUUAUCAAGUCUGCUGUCAAAGCGCGGAGCUUAACUCCGUAAGGGCAGUGGAAACUGAUAGGCUAGAGUGCGAUAGGGGCAAGGGGAAUUCCCAGUGUAGCGGUGAAAUGCGUAGAUAUUGGGAAGAACACCGGUGGCGAAAGCGCCUUGCUGGGUCUGCACUGACACUGAGGGACGAAAGCU